GUGCUCUCCAGAACAACAACCUCCCUUGGGGUGACCCAGUGAUACCUUCUGAACCCAGGGGCCUCCAUACUAUACAAGUUUUUCUUUUAGUUGCUUUAGGUGCUUCCAUUUAAACAAGACCAUUAAGGUGAACAGAAAUUGUCAUUGGGCUAAAACUGCAGUACCCAGCAUGAAAAAAUAAGUUUAUAGGACAUCUCCUUCCCAGACAGGUGCACAGCUCAAGGCUUUCUAUCACAGGCUUUUCUCCCUCUUCAAGAUUAGUGGAUAAACAAGAAUUGAUGAAAUCUGAUUUAGCCUUUUCAGUCAUGGAGAGGACAAUCACAUUCUCAACAAUGAUCUCAAGAAAGCAGAUACUCGUGAAAGUAUCUUCAUGAUAUCCACAGUCUGGAAUCACAUGGUAUCAAAACUACAGAAGAAAUUCUGUCUAAGGAGAAACUGCACUGCCUGUGCAUUCAAAGAGAGGCAUCAUGAGCAAAGAUCCAAUGAGAACCUACCUUACAGAUCUCUGGGAUCUUAACAAAACAGGGUAACUAAGCAGUAGAUCACACAGCUGAGAACUCUGAGCCUCCAGUUAGAGUCACAUAAAAAAAGGAUCGCACUUGCGAAAAAGACCUUUCACUCUUUAUUUUUAGAGAUACACAAUCAAGGGGAAUAAAGCUUGUGUAUAUGCACAGAAGUGAGAGAAACUCAUGACUAUUUUUAAAAAUAAUGAGCUGAGCAUGUGUGGUAUUUGAAAUCUGAGAACAUGGACACAGAGAAUUAUAAACUGGCAUUUUGGUGUAGCAAUCCAUGUAUUUCUUUGGAUAUCUCAAGCAAAACCAAUUAAUUUUAUGCCCUUUUUGAAUCCUGCAGUAUGUGUUUAAUUGCUCCAAAAGGAAUGAUUAAGAAAGGCUUUAACUCUAGAUUAGAGCCAUCAAAAAGAAGAAUCCAGCUCCAAAGUACUCACUGUCAACCCACGAUGAAAUGUGAGACAGGUUCUAAAUUCCUUUGCAGAUGUGGAGUAAUUCUAUGAUUGGACUGUAAAAUAGAGCUUAUGCUCUGGUGCUACAUUUGGAAAACCAAAGAAGACUUUUAUUUGAAAUUCUUCCAAUGAAAUAGCUUCAAAUACAUUUCUAUGAGGGAAUUCAUGGACUGCAGUUCUGCCAAUGUCAAGCACAGGGAGAGGAACAGGCCAGAAACAGCAUUUGUUAAAUAGCAGUGUUGGAACAAGAAGUCAGUAAAAAGAUGUUUCCAGGGCAAGAUAUCUUAGUUUGGACUAGAGAUGGUCUUGUGUAAAUAUAAAAGACUCUUUAUUCUUAUACUUACAG